UACGUAGGGUGCAAGCGUUGUCCGGAAUUAUUGGGCGUAAAGAGCUCGUAGGCGGUUCGUCGCGUCGGCUGUGAAAACCCGGAGCUCAACUCCGGGCCUGCAGUCGAUACGGGCGGACUUGAGUGUUGCAGGGGAGACUGGAAUUCCUGGUGUAGCGGUGAAAUGCGCAGAUAUCAGGAGGAACACCGGUGGCGAAGGCGGGUCUCUGGGCCAACUGACUGACGUGAGGAGCGAAAGCGUGGGGAGCGAACAGG
rnacentral:rRNA from 1 species